rnacentral:rRNA from 1 species
GACGAACGUUGGCGGCGUGCCUAAUACAUGCAAGUUGAGCGCUGAAGGUUGGUACUUGUACCAACUGGAUGAGCAGCGAACGGGUGAGUAACGCGUGGGGAAUCUGCCUUUGAGCGGGGGACAACAUUUGGAAACGAAUGCUAAUACCGCAUAAAAACUUUAAACACAAGUUUUAAGUUUGAAAGAUGCAAUUGCAUCACUCAAAGAUGAUCCCGCGUUGUAUUAGCUAGUUGGUGAGGUAAAGGCUCACCAAGGCGAUGAUACAUAGCCGACCUGAGAGGGUGAUCGGCCACAUUGGGACUGAGACACGGCCCAAACUCCUACGGGAGGCAGCAGUAGGGAAUCUUCGGCAAUGGACGAAAGUCUGACCGAGCAACGCCGCGUGAGUGAAGAAGGUUUUCGGAUCGUAAAACUCUGUUGGUAGAGAAGAACGUUGGUGAGAGUGGAAAGCUCAUCAAGUGACGGUAACUACCCAGAAAGGGACGGCUAACUACGU